rnacentral:pre_miRNA from 1 species
AGUGGGAUAGCUGGGUCAAAUGGUGGUUUCAUUCCAAGUUUUCUAAGGAAUCUCCAUACUGCUUUACUUUACAUAGUGGAUGCACCAAUUUGCAGUCCCAUCAGCAAU